rnacentral:rRNA from 1 species
GACGAACGCUGGCGGCGUGCUUAACACAUGCAAGUCGAACGGAAAGGCCCUGCUUUUGUGGGGUGCUCGAGUGGCGAACGGGUGAGUAACACGUGAGUAACCUGCCCUUGACUUUGGGAUAACUUCAGGAAACUGGGGCUAAUACCGGAUAGGAGCUCCUGCGGCAUGGUGGGGGUUGGAAAGUUUCGGCGGUUGGGGAUUGACUCGCGGCUUAUCAGCUUGUUGGUGGGGUAGUGGCUUACCAAGGCUUUGACGGGUAGCCGGCCUGCGAGGGUGACCGGCCACAUUGGGACUGAGAUACGGCCCAGACUCCUACGGGAGGCAGCAGUGGGGAAUAUUGCACAAUGGGCGGAAGCCUGAUGCAGCAACGCCGCGUGCGGGAUGACGGCCUUCGGGUUGUAAACCGCUUUCGCCUGUGACGAAGCGUGAGUGACGGUAAUGGGUAAAGAAGCACCGGCUAACUACGUG